rnacentral:rRNA from 1 species
GGGUUGUGAGGUUAAGCGACUAAGCGUACACGGUGGAUGCCCUGGCAGUCAGAGGCGAUGAAGGACGUGCUAAUCUGCGAUAAGCGUCGGUAAGGUGAUAUGAACCGUUAUAACCGGCGAUUUCCGAAUGGGGAAACCCAGUGUGUUUCGACACACUAUCAUUAACUGAAUCCAUAGGUUAAUGAGGCGAACCGGGGGAACUGAAACAUCUAAGUACCCCGAGGAAAAGAAAUCAACCGAGAUUCCCCCAGUAGCGGCGAGCGAACGGGGAGCAGCCCAGAGCCUGAAUCAGUGUGUGUGUUAGUGGAAGCGUCUGGAAAGGCGCGCGAUACAGGGUGACAGCCCCGUACACAAAAAUGCACAUACUGUGAGCUCGAUGAGUAGGGCGGGACACGUGGUAUCCUGUCUGAAUAUGGGGGGACCAUCCUCCAAGGCUAAAUACUCCUGACUGACCGAUAGUGAACCAGUACCGUGAGGGAAAGGCGAAAAGAACCCCGGCGAGGGGAGUGAAAAAGAACCUGAAACCGUGUACGUACAAGCAGUGGGAGCCUCUUUUAUGGGGUGACUGCGUACCUUUUGUAUAAUGGGUCAGCGACUUAUAUUCUGUAGCAAGGUUAACCGAAUAGGGGAGCCGAAGGGAAACCGAGUCUUAACCGGGCGUUAAGUUGCAGGGUAUAGACCCGAAACCCGGUGAUCUAGCCAUGGGCAGGUUGAAGGUUGGGUAACACUAACUGGAGGACCGAACCGACUAAUGUUGAAAAAUUAGCGGAUGACUUGUGGCUGGGGGUGAAAGGCCAAUCAAACCGGGAGAUAGCUGGUUCUCCCCGAAAGCUAUUUAGGUAGCGCCUCGUGAAUUCAUCUCCGGGGGUAGAGCACUGUUUCGGCAAGGGGGUCAUCCCGACUUACCAACCCGAUGCAAACUGCGAAUACCGGAGAAUGUUAUCACGGGAGACACACGGCGGGUGCUAACGUCCGUCGUGAAGAGGGAAACAACCCAGACCGCCAGCUAAGGUCCCAAAGUCAUGGUUAAGUGGGAAACGAUGUGGGAAGGCCCAGACAGCCAGGAUGUUGGCUUAGAAGCAGCCAUCAUUUAAAGAAAGCGUAAUAGCUCACUGGUCGAGUCGGCCUGCGCGGAAGAUGUAACGGGGCUAAACCAUGCACCGAAGCUGCGGCAGCGACACUGUGUGUUGUUGGGUAGGGGAGCGUUCUGUAAGCCUGUGAAGGUGUGCUGUGAGGCAUGCUGGAGGUAUCAGAAGUGCGAAUGCUGACAUAAGUAACGAUAAAGCGGGUGAAAAGCCCGCUCGCCGGAAGACCAAGGGUUCCUGUCCAACGUUAAUCGGGGCAGGGUGAGUCGACCCCUAAGGCGAGGCCGAAAGGCGUAGUCGAUGGGAAACAGGUUAAUAUUCCUGUACUUGGUGUUACUGCGAAGGGGGGACGGAGAAGGCUAUGUUGGCCGGGCGACGGUUGUCCCGGUUUAAGCGUGUAGGCUGGUUUUCCAGGCAAAUCCGGAAAAUCAAGGCUGAGGCGUGAUGACGAGGCACUACGGUGCUGAAGCAACAAAUGCCCUGCUUCCAGGAAAAGCCUCUAAGCAUCAGGUAACAUCAAAUCGUACCCCAAACCGACACAGGUGGUCAGGUAGAGAAUACCAAGGCGCUUGAGAGAACUCGGGUGAAGGAACUAGGCAAAAUGGUGCCGUAACUUCGGGAGAAGGCACGCUGAUAUGUAGGUGAAGUCCCUCGCGGAUGGAGCUGAAAUCAGUCGAAGAUACCAGCUGGCUGCAACUGUUUAUUAAAAACACAGCACUGUGCAAACACGAAAGUGGACGUAUACGGUGUGACGCCUGCCCGGUGCCGGAAGGUUAAUUGAUGGGGUCAGCGCAAGCGAAGCUCUUGAUCGAAGCCCCGGUAAACGGCGGCCGUAACUAUAACGGUCCUAAGGUAGCGAAAUUCCUUGUCGGGUAAGUUCCGACCUGCACGAAUGGCGUAAUGAUGGCCAGGCUGUCUCCACCCGAGACUCAGUGAAAUUGAACUCGCUGUGAAGAUGCAGUGUACCCGCGGCAAGACGGAAAGACCCCGUGAACCUUUACUAUAGCUUGACACUGAACAUUGAGCCUUGAUGUGUAGGAUAGGUGGGAGGCUUUGAAGUGUGGACGCCAGUCUGCAUGGAGCCGACCUUGAAA